rnacentral:rRNA from 1 species
CGCGGGAUUGCCACAAGUGGCAAUCACGUUUAUUGGGCCUAAAGCGUCCGUAGCAGGUUUCGUAAAUCUCUUGUGAAAUUGCCAGGCUCAACUUGGCAAAAUGCAGGGGACACUGCGAGACUUGAGACCGGGAGGAGUUAGAAGUAUUCCUUAGGGAGCGGUAAAAUGCUAUAAUCUAAGGAGGACUACCUGUGGCGAAGGCGUCUAACUAGAACGGAUCUGACUGUGAGGGACGAAAGCUAGGGGAGCGAACCGGAUUAGAUACCCGAGUAGUCCUAGCCGUAAACGCUGUGAGCUAGGUGUCGCGUAUUCUACGUGAAUGCGCGGUGUCGAAAGGAAGCUAUUAAGCUCACCGCCUGGGAAGUACGGUCGCAAGACUGAAACUUUAAGGAAUUGGCGGGGGCGCACCACAAGGGGUGCGGCGUGCGGUUUAAUCCAACUCAACACGGAGAACCUUACUAGAAGCGACGGCAGGAUGAAGGUCAUGUUGAAGACAUUACCUGACGAGCCGAGAGGAGGUGCAUGGCCGCCGUCAGCUCGUGCUAUGAAGUGUCCAGUUAAGUCUGGCAACGAGCGAGACCUGUAUCUGCAAUUGCUACCGGCACUACGGUGGACCGGGCACAUUGCAGGGACUGCCUUGGAAACAAGGAGGAAGGUGCAGGCUACGGCAGGUCUGUAUGCCCCGAAUCUUCUAGGCUACACGCGCGCAACAAUGGUAGAGACAAUGGGAUGCAACUCCGAAAGGAGAAGCUAAACCUCUAAACCCUAUCUUAGUCCAGAUUGAGGAUUGCAACUCAUCCUCAUGACGUCGGAAUCCCUAGUAAUCGGGUUUCAUCAAAGCCCGGUGAAUAUGUUCCUGCUCCUUGCACGAGUUAGCCGAAUCACUAGU